UGACGGUACCUGACUAAGAAGCCCCGGCUAACUACGUGCCAGCAGCCGCGGUAAUACGUAGGGGGCAAGCGUUAUCCGGAUUUACUGGGUGUAAAGGGAGCGUAGACGGUUUGGCAAGUCUGAAGUGAAAUGCGGGGGCUCAACUCCUGAACUGCUUUGGAAACUGUCGAACUAGAGUGCAGGAGAGGUAAGUGGAAUUCCUAGUGUAGCGGUGAAAUGCGUAGAUAUUAGGAGGAACACCAGUGGCGAAGGCGGCUUACUGGACUGUAACUGACGUUGAGGCUCGAAAGCGUGGGGAGCAAACAGGAUUAGAUACCCUG
rnacentral:rRNA from 1 species